rnacentral:rRNA from 1 species
UACGUAGGGUGCGAGCGUUGUCCGGAAUUAUUGGGCGUAAAGAGCUUGUAGGCGGUUUGUCGCGUCUGCCGUGAAAAUCCGGGGCUCAACCCCGGACUUGCGGUGGGUACGGGCAGACUAGAGUGUGGUAGGGGAGACUGGAAUUCCUGGUGUAGCGGUGAAAUGCGCAGAUAUCAGGAGGAACACCGAUGGCGAAGGCAGGUCUCUGGGCCACUACUGACGCUGAGAAGCGAAAAGCGUGGGGGAGCGAACAGG